rnacentral:rRNA from 1 species
UACGUAGGGGGCAAGCGUUGUCCGGAAUCAUUGGGCGUAAAGCGCGUGUAGGCGGUCCGGUAAGUCCGCUGUGAAAGUCAAGGGCUCAACCCUUGAAUGCCGGUUGAUACUGUCGGGCUAGAGUCCGGAAGAGGCGAGUGGAAUUCCCGGUGUAGCGGUGAAAUGCGCAGAUAUCAGGAAGAACACCCGUGGCUAAGGCGGCUCUCUAGUACGGUACUGACGCUGAGACGCGAAAGCGUGGGGGAGCGAACAGG